rnacentral:rRNA from 1 species
GAUGAACGCUGGCGGCGUGCUUAACACAUGCAAGUCGAGCGAAGCAGUUAAGAAGAUUCUUCGGAUGAUUCUUAACUGACUGAGCGGCGGACGGGUGAGUAACGCGUGGGUGACCUGCCCCAUACCGGGGGAUAACAGCUGGAAACGGCUGCUAAUACCGCAUAAGCGCACAGAGCUGCAUGGCUCGGUGUGAAAAACUCCGGUGGUAUGGGAUGGGCCCGCGUCUGAUUAGGCAGUUGGCGGGGUAACGGCCCACCAAACCGACGAUCAGUAGCCGGCCUGAGAGGGCGACCGGCCACAUUGGGACUGAGACACGGCCCAAACUCCUACGGGAGGCAGCAGUGGGGAAUAUUGCACAAUGGGGGAAACCCUGAUGCAGCGACGCCGCGUGAGCGAAGAAGUAUUUCGGUAUGUAAAGCUCUAUCAGCAGGGAAGAUAAUGACGG